rnacentral:lncRNA from 1 species
AUGGAGGAGCUCCAAGGAACCUUUGGAGCUGCACAAGGAGGGGAGAGAGGAGGAGCUCCAAAGAGCGCCUGGAGGUGCUCGGGGAUGGAGGAGGAGGAGGGCGGUGAGGAGUUGGAGGAGCUCCAAGGCUCGGAGGCACUGCUGAGGUUUGGAAAUAAAAGAUUUCGCUAUAUGGGUGUGGCUGGUGGAGCUCCACAGGGAGGGAAGAGUGGAGGAGCUCCAAGGAGCAGAGGGAGUGCAGAGCUGGCCCCGAGCCACGGAGGAGCUACAAGGAGCGCCUGGAGGUGCUCGGAGAUGGAGGAGGAGGAGGGUGGUGAGGAGCUGGAGGAGCUCCAAACCUCGGAGGUGCUGGGGAGGUUUGGAAAUCAAGGAUUUCGCUCUAUGGGUGCGGCUGGUGGAGCUCCACAGGGAGGGGAGAGCGGAGGAGCUCCAAGGAGCAGAGGGAGUGCAGAGCUGGCCCCGAGCCACGGAGGAGCUCCAAGGAGCGCCUGGAGGUGCUCGGGGAUGGAGGAGGAGGGCGGUGAGGAGUUGGAGGAGCUCCAAGGCUCGGAGGCACUGCUGAGGUUUGGAAAUCAAGGAUUUCGCUCUAUGGGUGCGGCUGGUGGAGCUCCACGGGGAAGGAAGAGCGGAGGAGCUCCAAGGAGCGCCUGGAGGUGCUCAGAGAUGGAGGAGGAGGAGGACGGUGAGGAGUUGGAGGAGCUCCAAGGCUUGGAGGCACUGCUGAGGUUUGGAAAUCAAGGAUUUCACUGUAUGGGUGCGGCUGGUGGAGCUGCACAGGGAGCGCAGAGCCAGCCCUGAGCUGCGGAGGAGCUCCAAGGAGCUGCAACUGGUGGAGCUCCACAGGGAGCAGAGAGUGGAGGAGCUCCAAGGAGCCUGUGGAGCUCCACAGGGAAUGGAGAGCGGAGGAGCUCCAAGGAGCAGAGAGAGAGAGGCGAGCAGGCUCCGAGCUGUGGAGGAGAUCCAAGGAACCUGUGGAGCUGCACAAAGAGGGGAGAGCGGAGGAGCUCCAAGGAGAGCCUUGGAGGUGCUCAGAGAUGGAGGAGGAGGAGGGUGGUGAGGAGUUGGAGGAGCUCCAAGGCUCGGAGGUGGCGCGGAGGUUUGGAAAUCAAGGAUUUCGCUCUAUGGGUGCGGCUGGUGGAGCUGCACAGGGAGCGCAGAGCCAGCCCUGAGCCGCGGAGGCCGAGGAGCUCCAAGGAGCCCGUGGAGCUCCACAGGGAGCGCAGAGCGGAGGAGCUCCAAGGAGCCUGUGGAGCUCCAGGGGGAGCAGAGAGCAGAGGAGCUCCAAGGAACACCCGGAGCUGCUCGGGGAUGCUGGAGGAGGGCGGUGAGGAGUUGGAGGUUUGUAAAUAAAGGAUUUUACUCCGAGGAUGCA